GACCACAGGGAUUGCCUCAGUAACGGCGAGUGAAGCGGCAACAGCUCAAAUUUGAAAUCUGGCCCUCGGGCCCGAGUUGUAAUUUGUAGAGGAUGCUUUGGGCGCGGCGCCUUCCGAGUUCCUUGGAACAGGACGCCUUAGAGGGUGAGAGCCCCGUACGGUUGGACGUCAAGCCUAGGUAAAGCUCCCUCGACGAGUCGAGUAGUUUGGGAAUGCUGCUCUAAAUGGGAGGUAAAUUUCUUCUAAAGCUAAAUACCGGCCAGAGACCGAUAGCGCACAAGUAGAGUGAUCGAAAGAUGAAAAGUACUUUGAAAAGAGGGUUAAAUAGCACGUGAAAUUGUUGAAAGGGAAGCGUUUAUGACCAGACCCGGGCCUGGCGGAUCAUCCGGUGUUCCUCACCGGUGCACUUCGCCUGGCCUAGGCCAGCAUCGAUUUCCGCCGGGGGACAAAGGCCGCGGGAACGUAGCUCCCCUAGGGGAGUGUUAUAGCCCUAGGCGCAAUGCCCUGGCGGGGAUCGAGGUUCGCGCUCCGGCAAGGAUGCUGGCGUAAUGGUCAUCAACGACCCGUCUUGAAACACGGACCAAGGAGUCGAACAUCUAUGCGAGUGUUUGGGUGUGAAAACCCUCACGCGGAAUGAAGGUGAAUGGAGGUGAGAGCCCCUCGGGGGCGCAUCAUCGACCGAUCCUGAUGUCUUCGGAUGGAUUUGAGUAGGAGCAUAGCUGUUCGGACCCGAAAGAUGGUGAACUAUGCGUGGGUAGGGUG
rnacentral:rRNA from 1 species